AUCCAGCUGACGAGUCCCAAAUAGGAGGAAACGCACGUCCUGGAU
rfam:Schistosoma haematobium scaffold416_41, whole genome shotgun sequence.